rnacentral:rRNA from 1 species
AGUGAACGCUGGCGGUAGGCCUAACACAUGCAAGUCGAACGGCAGCACAGUAAGAGCUUGCUCUUCCGGGUGGCGGGUGGCGGACGUGUGAGGAAUACAUCGGAAUCUACUUUUUCGUGGGGGAUAACGUAGGGGAACUUACGAUCAUACCGCAUACGACCUACGGGUGAAAGCAGGGGAUCUUCGGACCUUGCGCGAUUGAAUGAGCCGAUGUCGGAUUAGCUAGUUGGCGGGGUAAAGGCCCACCAAGGCGACGAUCCGUAGCUGGUCUGAGUGGAUGGUAAGCCACACUGGAACGGGGACAGCGUCCAUGCUCCUGCGGGACGCAGCAGUGGGGAAUAUUGGACAAUGGGCGCAAGCCUGAUCCAGCCAUACCGCGUGGGUGAAGAAGGCCUUCGGGUUGUAAAGCCCUUUUGUGGGUAAAGAAAAGCAUCAGGUUAAUACCCCGCUGUUCUGACGGUACCCAAAGAAUAAGCACCGGCUAACUUCGUG